rnacentral:lncRNA from 1 species
AUUUUUUAAUUGUUAAAUAUAAAAAAAAUCACUAUAACUAGAAUGGUGUCUAUGUAUUUCAUAGUAGGUUGCGAAACUGAGCAAAGAGGAGGGUUGUGGUAGGUUAACAGUGAGCGUAACACAAAACCUUAUGUCAUAAAUCCUAAUACGCAGCAACUAGUAUAGUCGAUGUGCAAUGCACAUGCACAAAUAGGUUAAUUUGAAGGUGACACGGAUGAUAAGAUGCACAUUUUAUAUGGAAAUUUGUUAAUACUCAGUUUUAAUAAUGGUAAAUCAAUUAAAACAUGUUGGUUAUCGCUUGAAACAACUUUUUAUUAAAUUUGAAGAUAAAUGCAAAUGUACCCCUGAUUAAUUUCUUAAGAUGCGUAUAAUUUAUUUUCAAAAAGUAGAAUAACACGUAAUGAUUUUUGGAUAUUCUUUAUGAAGAUUGUGUUUAUCCUUAUAUUUUCUUUUGAGUUGUCAUGCAGACUCUCUCUCUCUUAUUCACAAAAUCCUUUCAGUCUGUUCAUUUGUCAACCAUUCACAGUGCUAGACCCGCUCUCCCUCUCUUUACACACAUGAACACAAAUAUAAUGCUCAAAAUCACAGUGAAGUACAGGUAUGCACACAAAUAUAAAGCUACAUUCUUCAUCUUUAUGCUUCGUGUAUAUAUACAUGUAUGUAUUCAUCAAUAGAAGAGUAAUGAGAUGACGUGCUUUGAUGUUAUUUAGUCUUAAGUCCUAGAUAUAACAGUUUACAUUAAUAUAAGAGCUAUCUUUCAUAAGUCUUGACUAUGACUGUACAUCCUCAAUGUCUCGAUUUGAUCAUUAAGUAUAGGAUUUUGUAUAUUCUCCUGACUGCAAAUACUAUUUGCACGUCCAAUUAAGUAGUUAUCAUGAAGUCUGUUAGCAUCAAUAACAGUGCAUAUUGUAUGCAUGCUCAUUAUUGCUUAUAUAUCUCGAUGCUAUUUGAUUUUUGUGGUGUGCACCUUGGGUGAGCAUGGGUUGGGUUAGGCCCAUAUGGGCCUAACCCAACACGUUCAGUUUCAUGAGAAAUUGAGCAGAACCAACCCACCCACAAGUCUAAAACUCAACUCAACCCUAACUGAUCAAGGUUGGGUGGGGUUGUUGAGUUGGGUUGGUUGGUUUUGGGCUUGAAACAGAAUCACACAAGGAACACAAUUUUUUUUUUUUUUUUUUUUGUCGAGGGCCUAAUUCACAUUUGGCCAUUUUUUUUGAUGAACUUGCUUGGCCAUUAUUAAAAACUUUGAUGGUCUAAUUUAAUAUAGGGCCAAUUUCAAUAAAAUUUGAAAAGAUUGGCGCAUUUGAGGUUGGAUCAUUUUCGAACAUUUUUACUAUCUAAAACAAAUUCAAUCAACAUAUGAAAAAUGCUAUUGCAAACUCGAUACAAAUGAAAAAUAUUAAAUUCAUGCAAAUUGAACCUACAUAAUAAAAAAUGUAACGAAGUCUUUAUAUCAUACGUAUUGUUUGCUCUGGGAGAGCCUGAAUCUAUCUUACUCCUUAAGACAUUUUGUCAUGUCUUCAAGGAUUUGAACCCAAGACCCCUGCCUUACGAGAGACUUUAGCUAAAUCCUGUCACUAGCAUUUGUGCCUUGAUUUAGUUUAAGUUUCUCAUAAGUCAGAGGUCUUGUGUUCGAAUCCUGAGGGCGUUAUAGAAAUCUGUGAGAAGUCAGAUAGGUUUAGACUCUCACGGAGCGGAAGUACAUGAGAAAACAACUUGGGUACGAGGCCUGGGUUGUUACAAAAAAUGUUAUACAAUACGAAAUAAAAAAUAUUAAUCAUCCAAAUUCAAUCUAUAUAUUAAUGUUAUAGUCAUCCAAAUUGCAGAUCCAAUAUGAAUUUUUUUUUUUUGAAAGGGAAUCAAAUAUUUUAUUAACUAAUGCAUAAUACACGGGAAGUGUAUUAUCAAUUUAAAGCAGAAAGGAACAACAUAAAAUUGUGCAGCCCAUCUAUAUGCCUAGUAGCUGCAGCAUUAAACCACGUAUACAAUGUGAAAUAAAACAUCUCUAAUUUGCUCUGCUGUCCGUGUUUGAUUAUCAAAGCAGCAGCUAUUUCUUUCUCCCCACAUACACCAUACAAUGUAACCCGGAAUAAGGUCCCAUGCAAGCUUGCAAUCCUUGUCUCGAAAUUUUCUCCUCCAUGCCUUUAACACGUCUUCCAUACGCCUCGGCAUCACCUAAUCCAUGUGUUGUGAUGCCAAAAUAUUGUGUCACAGUAAACGAGCAGCAUCACAAUGGAAAAACAAGUGAUCAAUCGUCUCCCCGUCCCUCCGACACUUAUAACACCACUCUGUAAUAUAAAAACAUCUUGUUCGUAGAUUAUCCAUCGUUAACACCUGUCCUCUGACCACUGUCCAAAGUAAGAAUGCAACCCGUGGAGGCAAUUUACAUUUCCACACCGAUUUCCAAGGGAAUGAACUCUGCACAGGACCCAAUAAAGAUCUAAAAUAAGUGCCAACUGAGAAAAUCCCAUCCCGUGUCAAUCUCCACCUACUACAGUUUGCCUCUCCUGUCUUGAUGCGGACCUUGUACAAAGAAGUCAAAAAUAGCGCAUAAUCGUCAAAUUCCCAAUCCUGUAAUCUCUGGCCAAAAACAAUAUUCCAACUGAUCCUCCCAUUAUGUAUAUCUAAGAAUCACUCACCGUAGUAGACGGUGUAAACACAAUACGAGAUAAAGAGGGAAAUUUCACCUUCAGCGGUUGUUCUCCAGACCAAUAAUCAUCCCAAAAACUGAUGGUAGUACCAUUCCUCACUGCAAAAGUCAAUUUUGGGAGCACACCAAGACCUCCACUAUUUUAAUGCUUAAAGAACUAUGAAAAUAUCAAGGAUCACAAAAUUCUAAAGCAAAAAUAGACACUUGUAUUGCCAACAUAUCUCUGGCUUGUUUGGACAAGAUACUAUAUUUAUUUAAGUUAAAAUUCUACCUAUUAAGAUUCUACCGAAGAUCAAAAUAAUUGUUCUCUAUGCUUUUACGAGCGUCUAAAAAGUAUGUCUACAUUUUUUUAUCUAAGCACUAUCUUUUGCUCCAUGUUUUUCCAUAAACCUAGAAAGACGAGUAUAACUCAUAGAAGAAGAAAAUUGCCUUUACGAGAAUUAAAAUAAUUGAUACUUGACUGCUUUAGAAACUCCUUCGCGUCCCUUGUAUCAGCUCUUAUUCCUUUCCUUCAUAUGUUGCUUUUCUUCGCUUUUGGGAGGUUAGGUUUAUGUUCCCCUUCCUCUUGUUCUUGUGAGUUUGAUUUUAUAUAUACGGUUGGAGAAUCCAAAUCCCCAUCAGUGUUCCCUGAUGGAGCUUUAAAACCCACUGAGGUUGUGUUAGUGUUUUCCUUAGAAGAAAAAAGAAGAAGCCAUAAUUGAUCAAUCACAACUUGAAUUGAUCCUCCGAAUGUCAAUUAUAACAGACAAAAAACAAAAUUAACCAAUUAAACUAAAUAAAAUAUGAAGGCCUAUUUUUCAAAAUUUCAAAAUAAAUACAAAUUGUAGAAGGGUAGGUAUAAAAGCUCAUUUUUGACCAAUUUAUCAGGAAUAAGAUAUAAUUUGCUGUCGUUUCAUAGUUUUGACUCUUGUUUACUCCUUUAUAUUUAAGAUAAUUGUUCUCUGUUUAUUAGAGAUUUUUAUUGAUAUGUUGAGAAAUUCACUGGUAGGGUGCACAGUUCACUUUUUUUGCCCGUGGUUUGCACGAAUAACCAUUUCAUACAAGUAAAAGCUGCAAUUGCCUUCUGCUUGAUUUUGUCGCUUUUAAUCAAAUCUCCUGGAUGUGCAUUUUAAGAUGGCAGUGACUAUCUUAAUGCGCAUGGGAAUUAAAGAUUCUGCUGCUCCCCUUUUGACUUUUCUCCCUUAAUCAGUUUAGGACCCCGCCUACCCCCAUUCACAAUUAUGGCUUUGUUAUCAUUCCAGAAACAUUUGAGAAUCUUGUAUAUAUAGAGGCAUCAAAAUGAACCUUCUGAAUAUUAAUGCUCUUCUUUAGGCACAUUGUAUGUGGUAAUCCUGUCUUAUCUGCUUUUGAAAGAUCAGAAGAGUCUAUGCAGUAUCCUCUACGAUGGUCUGUGUAUGGAAACACAGACAAAUGCUCCUGUGCAAUCAAAGAAAGAAGAUAGGUAAUUCAUCUUCACAUUUUGAAGGUUAAUUCCUAAAGCAAUGAAAGUAAAUAAACUUUGGGAAUCGAUAGAUGUUUUCACUCUUUUUUUUUUCCAUCACGUGCUAGAUACUUGUGUCUUUUCUACUGUGAUAAUCCAUGUUUUCCGUUAGCAACUCCCCAACUGUGCCAACCCAAAAAAAUAAAAAAUAAAAUAAAUAAUGGAAAAACGAAACAAUAGGUACAGAAUUGAACAGACUAAAUGUGCAGUUGGCAGAUAGUUUGAUGUAAUACUCAAGGAGGUGCAGAUUGCAUUGGAGACUUGACAAAAUAUGAACUUUUUUAAAGUGUGAAAUUCUAAAGUAGGUAUAAAUUUACUUUCUCUUGGUAGUUUCUAGAUUUUUAAAUUAGGAAAGUUUUUACUUGAUAUUUUGAUAAAUUCUAAUUGUAGGGAUUUUAGGUAUGAAGAUUUUCUCUGAAUUUUUUGAUUCUUCUCUCUUUUUCUCUCAGGGUAUUGAAGAAGGAACCAAAAAACCUGUAGCAAGAACCUUGUGAACCACACGAACGUGAUCAUAAAAUUAGAUAAAAAAAAUAAAUAAAUAUUAGAUAAAAUUUGUUAACAUUCAUGAACUAUGCAUUUUUAAAAUUGAAUACGAUAAUUUGGAGUUACAGUCGUUAUGACUUGAAUAAGCAAGAGUACCUAUCUGCCAGCUGCAAUUGGUAAAAUAGUUUUUGAUGUGUAAAGGUCCACAAGUAAUUUCAUGGACGAUAUAGCAUGAUUAGUAGUAAGUACCAAAGUCUAUCUGGUAUGGAGACACCAGUUUCCCAUAGCUCUUUGCAAUGCAUGAGGCUGAAAAGAGUUUCUAUCUUUUAAUUUUGUGAGACAACUAAUGAUUCAAAUUUGUAACUUUGAGAGAUAAGUAUGAAGCAGCUAACAUGACAGAUAAAUACAUAUUGUAAAAGAAUAUGGAACUUCUAUCGUAUUAAGUUAUUAACUCAUUGGUGCAAUAACUUGUGGGCUUUUCUAUAAUUAUAAAGCUGGAAAGAGAUUGUUCUUUUUUCAUUCUUGUGUAGUUUGGCCCCAGUUGGACAGAUCUGUCUUUAACCGAGAAAAAUCCCAGGCUGGUUUAGUACGCAAAUUGAUUGAAUUUAAAUGCAGUCUCUUGGAGGGAGAUCUAGUACAUUCCUAUGGAAAAUCGAAGACAAUUGGUAUCAAAACCCAUCUUGAAUCAGGUAUAGUUCUGUUCAUGCAACUCAGUACGAGUAAAUAGAAUGCCUAACUGACAGUAUAAGGGUCGGUUUUACGUGAACUUUUGAUUUAUUAUCGUGCAGUUGUACCUUAAUUAUUCCCCUAAAAGAAAAACAAUUUCCAAAUGAUGGAAUCUGGUUGAUGAUCAUGUUUAAGUUCUUAAGAGUUGAGAAAAUUCCCUUUCUUCAGUCCACAAUAACAAGUGUUUUUAAGGGGUCAGAGCCUCUUGACAUGCAUGGGUAAAAAAAGAGUCUGGGCAGAAAGCUGCUUGCAGAAUAUUUGGUCAGUUUCAUUCUGGAUGCUGAGAAAUUCAAAAGCUCGAUGUUGACUGCUUGGAAUUCUAUUGUAUACUGAAUACAAACUUUUGCCACAAGGCAAUACUUGUCUGUAGUGAACAAGAGUUUCAGAUUGAUAAACCAUAAACAACUGAGCAGCUUUGCUACAAAUUGAGUUGUUGCAUCUAACUUAGCACUAUUCUUAAUUUCCCCUUAAUUUCAUUAGUGAUACAAGCCCCUUUUAUGUUCUGCGGUAGAAAUGUUCAUACCAACACAAGAAAUGCACUAAAAAAGCAAGUUACAUUUACUGAGAAAGAGAAGGGAAGUUUCUCGAUUCCUUUACAGUGCGCUGCAUCAAGUUAUUCAGAUAUGGGAAUAUCAGUAGCUGAUUUCUUUAAAACAUCAGUUGGAAGUAAACGACAGCAUUUUCUUUACAAGAGCAUACGACCGGGAGCAGAUUUCAUUCAUCACGCGGGAAGUCUUUGUCUGAGGGGUUUCCAAGAAAUGAACCCCGAGUCUUUCUCAGGAUGAAAUACCCAAAUUCUUUUUGUAUUAUGAGAUAGCUAGUCAAGAACCAAACUUGGCGAGCUUGACCCAUCUACACCAUUGUAGCUACAAUAUUAUUUUAUGCAUCUAUGUUUCAAGAUUGGUAGUAUUCAUCAUAGUGCGUUUUUGUUCCGUCAACAUCUCAAAGUAAUAAAUGGAAUAAAUAACGAAAAUUUUAUUCAC